UGCCAGCCGCCGCGGUAAUACGGAGGGGGUUAGCGUUGUUCGGAAUUACUGGGCGUAAAGCGCGCGUAGGCGGCUUUGUAAGUCGGAUGUGAAAGCCCUGGGCUUAACCUGGGAAUUGCAUUCGAUACUGCAGAGCUAGAGUAUGGUAGAGGGAAGUGGAAUUUCCGGUGUAGCGGUGAAAUGCGUAGAUAUCGGAAGGAACACCAGUGGCGAAGGCGGCCACCUGGCUCGAUACUGACGCUGAGGUGCGAAAGCGUGGGGAGCAAACAGGAUUAGAUA
rnacentral:rRNA from 1 species